GUUGGUGCAUUGGGUUGUCUCGAAUUUCACUCAUCAGAAUAGGAUUCAGGAGCCUUCUACUCAUGCAUCUGAUAGCACUAAAUCUGACAAUGUCAAGAGUGAGGUGUCUGAUGUUGUAGCGUCUUUGAAGGAACAAGGAGGAAGGAACAUGAUGUUUCAACAACUUGGAGGAGUAAAUGUAAUUGGAUUCUAUAAAUUAUGCAAAGUUCUUCAAGUUAUGUAAACAAUUGUAUUCUUUAUAAUCUAUGUAAAAAAAUUAUGUAUCUUUCUAGUAUUUUGAUGAAUGUAUUAUUUGAAUAUAAUUAUAUUUGAUAUUGAAAUAUAAUUAGAUCUAUUGUGUUGGAUAUGAA